rnacentral:rRNA from 1 species
UACGGGGGGGGCAAGCGUUGUUCGGAAUUACUGGGCGUAAAGGGCUCGUAGGCGGCCAACUAAGUCAGACGUGAAAUCCCUCGGCUUAACCGUGGAACUGCUUGGCAUACUGGCGGUCUUGAGCAACCUAGGGGCGAGCGGAACAAAUGGUGGAGCGGUGAAAUGCGUAGAUAUCAUUUGGAACGCCAAUGGUGAAAACAGCUCGCUGGGGGUUUGCUGACGCUGAGACACGAAAGCCAGGGGAGCAAACGGG